CUCAAAACAAGCGGGUGCUUCCUCAAGCAAGCAGCGCAGCUCUCCUUUCUGUGUGUUUCUCUCCUCUGGAACGCUAUUCCCCUCUCCCGCUGCCCUGCUUGCCCCGAGCAGCCUGACAAGUUUUCAGGGUUCUACAAAUCAUAGCUCUGUCCCAGCUCUUGAGCAGGCGUCCUUUACACUGCCCAGCCUUACAGUCCUCAGCAUUUACAACCUCUCUCUUUUCCAGGUUAUCAUCAUCUGUCAGAUCUGAACUUAAACAACAAGAAACAUGUCAGGCUCGGUUUCUGAGUGCCUAUACGCAGAAAGAAGAGUUGAGGAGCCCGGAAUGUUCGCCAUGCCAGCGGACUGGCUUGCUGCGAGGCAGGCGGCCGCGGCAGAGCCGUUUGGGAUGUCACCUCGGAUUCUGGGAUUCCCGCACUACUUUGCGGCUCUUCCUGCGCUUAACUGCAUCGUUCCAGAGCGCUCCUUUGAAAUGAGCGCAAAAGGCAUAAGUUUUGAGUAGCUAAACUCCUCUCCCCGAGAGCAGCAGCGCUUAGACAGACAAGCUGGGAGCGGAGAGCUUGCCUUACUCCCCGUGGGUACGCUGCCAAAGUGGCGCUUGAUCGUUAGUGGGAAAAAAAAAAAAAGACGGAGUGAUAUGGCUCAGCCCGGCGUUUGCAAGAGGAAGCAGACGAUUGCUGGUGAAGGCCCCAUGCGUCAAGCUCCGCCUGGACUACGCGGCUCCCCACCUCUGGCGGCCGCGGCUCCUGUCCCCCAGGACAUGCUCGCAGUUCCAGCCUCUAAUCCUAGUCCUCAGCUGGCGCAGGCUGGUUGAAGGAUCGCGCAACUAGGCGGAGUGUGUUGACUCCAUCCUCCAGGGGAAUUCAGAUUGGACUGAAAGGAAAAAAUUUCCCUAACCUGGGCAGCAGCAGUCUGUCGAUGAAACUGACCUUCAUGACACUGACCAGAGAUAAACCUCUUGGCAUGAGACAGCCUGACACACCAGUGAUCAUUCUGUUGGGGACCAGGGACAAGCAGCCCAGCACCACGAAACUUACCAGCGUGUACUUAAAGAGAAAACCCGAGAUGCCUAAAACAGACCGGUGCACAACAGAACACUGUUCACUGUUAACCGACCACCUGAAACCGUUCGCAGAGAGGCUACCCUGAAAUUAACCUGACUGGGUGAAAGGAACCAGAAUGAAAUCCACCUGCCUGUUAACACAGCCACUUAGCCACAGCAAGAGACUGGAGCAGAGGCUGAAGAGUGCGGCGGGGUGGAGCCGGGAGGGGGCUAGUCUCUGGGUGCUCCUGAGAACCUGACUGGUGCCGCUGCGGGGAUUGGGGGAGGGGGUUGUCCAGUGCUUUUUAAUUUACGACCGCCGCGCCCCAAGCCAUCCCAUAAAUUUGGGGGCCG
rnacentral:lncRNA from 1 species